CGCAGACUCGGGGACGCUAGGGAUCGGAGCAUCUCCUUGUACCUUGAAAGGGAGAUGACCGGGUUACCUUACACUGACCUCUGGACAGCUGCCCAUCUGCACCGAGAGAACGCACAAGGCCGCAUUUGUUUGCUUGCAAAAUAUCUGGGUGUUUUCUACACCCGCCUACCUGUCCCCCAACACACACACACACCGGCGGGGGUGGGGGCCUGAGGGAUUAGAGGGAUAGAGUCAGGUCAAUCAGAAGAGAUUAGAGACUGGGCUGGACGUGUCCACUCUGAGGGCCUCUGAAAGUAGGCACUGCAGCUACGCUCCUGGUGCCCCGCCCUCAGGUGACUCGAGAUUGAUUUUUCUUGGUUCGUUAGUUCUGAAAGCCCGGGGCUGUAAAACGUUUGGGUCCAGAAUGAAACUCUGAUCCACGGAAGCUUUCCUUGCCCUGCACUCUCACCCCUGCUGGUGUCUGGAACUGGGCAGACUGGAGGAUUCUAAAGAGUUUGAGGUUGCGUAACCAUCCAGAAACACACGAUAAGAGUCCUCUUUCAGCAAAUAUUCUUGAUUAAGUCAUGAAAAUGGAAUUGGAGCUUAUUUUUCCCCUUUGUAUGUGCCCUAGUCACUUUCCUCUGCACACAUUCCAGUUUUGUUUUAUUUUGAGAAACAAAACUGAGAGUCCUUGGACAGCAAGGAGGUCAAACCAGUCAAUCUUAAGGGAAAUCAACCCUGAACACUCGCUGGAAGGACUGAUGCUGAAGCUGAAACUCCAGUAUUUUGGUCAUCUUUUGCGAACAGCUGACUCACUGGAAAAAAAUCCCUAAUGCUGGGAAAGACUGAGGGCAGAAGAAGAGGGCAUCAGAGGAUGAGAUGGCUGGAUGGCAUGACCGAUGCAACGGACAUGAACUUGGGCAAACUUCGGGAGAUGAUAAUAUAAUCGCAACUUCUCUGUUUACCUGAAAGCCACUCAUAGACAAGUUAAAAAUGUGGAAAGGCCCAUGCGUAUGAACACCUUGCCUGGUCCGACAGAGCCCAUGACUUUCUAUUUAAAAGGUGAUGACCAACCACAGGAAGCUACCUAAA
ensembl:lncRNA